rnacentral:lncRNA from 1 species
GCCGAGUGAUGCUCCAGGCUUCCUAAAACCUGAACAUGUCACUCCUGCAUGCUGUCCUGUCUGGUUUCUUACAGGAGAAGCUUAUGCGCUGACUUUUCUGCUGCUGCGCACAAGAUACCCGGUUGCGAACGCCUGAAGAGCUGCCUUGGGGUGAUUCAGGACGGGUCGAAGAGAGGAGAUUCCACUGGAGUGCAAGUCGAGCUGCUGGGGGUACUGAGGAGCCAGAGAGAGCCACAUGGCUCCCCGCUCCAGCGCUCUCUGUGAAUGCUCGAGGCCCACAGCUCUGGCCAGCUCUGAGCGAAGGUUCAAAGAAGAUGCUGGCCACCCUGAGCGGUGUGGGGCGUCAUGCCUGUGGAUGGAGGCUGUGACCUCUGGCCCCACCAUGAGGUCAGCCAGACCUCUGAGCUAUCAAGACUGGCUCCUGGGACUGAGCCAUGACACAGCCUCCUGCAAGACCUGGGGACACCCCUUCCUUCUGGCAUUAUUUCUGCAACAAAGAAGCAGAGAGAGGCAAGGCAGCCCUGAGGGCCGGAAGGCUCAGGAGAGGAGUGGAGAGCUGGCUCAGGCCGGUGCUCUCAUGAUCUUCCUGCUGGAUGGCAGCCAGCUAGCCCAGGAGAGCAGGGACGUAUGUGUCUAAACUCAGGAGAUCUGCACGAGUGACUUCCAGUGCUUCCUUGUCCAAAAGCUAUGGUAAGCGGGCGGUGCAGCACCCAUCACCUGAUAAAUCCAAGGCAUCAAGAGGCAGACCUCUCAGGGGACAGAGGUCCCCGCAUAAAGCAGUCAACUUACGCCAGCUCAGUGCUGGCUGAGAGUGCAGAAAACCGAGAACGGGUGGUAGAAAUAGACUAUUAGUUAUGACCUUGAGAUCCACUGUGACAGGGGACCAGGGCUCGUUCUACUCACUCUCUUACAUUAAGUCCUGACAGAGCUGCAGCUUUGGAUAAAGACUCUGUUGAAUUGGAGGGUCCAUGAUGGAUAUGAACGGUGCAAGGGACUUCCCUUGUGCCUCAGCUCAAAUCCUCUCAGAGGGACCCUCCCUACUUGACAGACUAUUGCGGAGACCAGUCUGGACAGGCUUCAGAACAGCUCAGCCUGGCAGCAAUGUGACAGUGUCUGCCCCAGGGCGUCCCUGAAGCUGCUGUGCAAAUGCCCACAGAAUGCUAGGCGCACACCCUGGGACAGCCUGGAGAUGUGGGGGAGUUGGUGCAAGAGGCCACCAUUGACCACUGGGAGACAGGAUCCUGUAGGUAAAUGCUCACCCAUUUCGUUCCCUGAGCAGAGAAAUCUGAGCUACACCCCCUCAGGCUCUUCAGAAGGUACUAUGGGAUUGGUCUGUUGCCCAUAGGGGCAGCUAACUCAGUCCUACAUCUUUGCCUUUCUCACUUCUCCCGUUUCACUCCUCAGGUCCUCUCUCUGGAUCCCUGGGAUCACUUCCCGUAUAAACUACCUUCAGGUAAGCCUGUGUCUGAGGCACAGCUUUUAGGGGAACUCAAAUGAAGACAGCCAUUCAUAAAGUUGAAAGAGGGAGGGGAAGGUGUGAAACCAUCUUUUCUCAGAGUGCAAAUAUCAUAAAGCCACCAAGCAUGCUGGGUUCCUAUUUGGGGUGUGCAGGAAUGUGUUUAAGGUAAACCCUCCAG